UGAUAAGAAGAGGACUUAAACCUCUGUUAAUGGGG
rnacentral:tRNA from 1 species